rnacentral:rRNA from 1 species
GAUGAACGCUGGCGGCGUGCCUAAUACAUGCAAGUCGAGCGAACAGAUGAGGAGCUUGCUCCUCUGACGUUAGCGGCGGACGGGUGAGUAACACGUGGAUAACCUACCUAUAAGACUGGGAUAACUUCGGGAAACCGGAGCUAAUACCGGAUAAUAUAUUGAACCGCAUGGUUCAAUAGUGAAAGACGGUUUUGCUGUCACUUAUAGAUGGAUCCGCGCCGCAUUAGCUAGUUGGUAAGGUAACGGCUUACCAAGGCAACGAUGCGUAGCCGACCUGAGAGGGUGAUCGGCCACACUGGAACUGAGACACGGUCCAGACUCCUACGGGAGGCAGCAGUAGGGAAUCUUCCGCAAUGGGCGAAAGCCUGACGGAGCAACGCCGCGUGAGUGAUGAAGGUCUUCGGAUCGUAAAACUCUGUUAUUAGGGAAGAACAAAUGUGUAAGUAACUAUGCAUGUCUUGACGGUACCUAAUCAGAAAGCCACGGCUAACUACGU